AGAUUGAACGCUGGCGGCAUGCCUUACACAUGCAAGUCGAACGCGAAAGUAGGGGCAACCCUGCGAGUAGAGUGGCGAACGGGUGAGUAAUACAUCGGAACGUACCCAGGAGUGGGGGACAACCUCGAGAAAUCGAGGCUAAUACCGCAUACGUCCUGAGGGAGAAAGCGGGGGAUUCGCAAGGACCUCGCGCUCAUGGAGCGGCCGAUGUCGGAUUAGCUAGUUGGCGGGUAAAGGCCCACCAAGGCUACGAUCCGUAGCUGGUUUGAGAGAACGACCAGCCACACUGGGACUGAGACACGGCCCAGACUCCUACGGGGGCAGCAGUGAGGAAUUUUCCGCAAUGGAGGCAACUCUGACGGAGCAACGCCGCGUGCAGGAGGAAGGUUUUCGGAUCGUAAACUGCUUUUCUCGGGGACGAGCAAGGACGGUACCCGAGGAAGAAGCCCCGGCUAACUACGUGCCAGCAGCCGC
rnacentral:rRNA from 1 species